AUGAUAUGCGGCAGUCUACUACAUGCAAGUCGAACGGGAUUGGGGCUUCGGCCCCAUGAGAGUGGCGUACGGGUGCGUAACGCGUAUGCAACCUACCUUCAUCAGGGGGAUAGCCCGGAGAAAUCCGGAUUAAUUCCGCAUAAAAACACAGGAUAGCAUUAUCCAAUGUUCAAAUAUUUUUAGGAUGGAGAUGGGCAUGCUUGCCCUUAGCUAGUCGGUAGGGUAACGGCCUACCCAGGCAUCGAUGGCUAGGGGAUCUGAGAGGAUGGCCCCCCACCCUGGUACUGAGACACGGACCAGACUCCUACGGGAGGCAGCAGUAAGGAAUAUUGGUCAAUGGAGGCAACUCUGAACCAGCCAUGCCGCGUGCAGGAAGACAGCCCUAUGGGUCGUAAACUGCUUUUAUACGGGAACAAACCUUUCCUCGUGAGGAAAGCUGAGCGUACCGUAAGAAUAAGGAUCGGCUAACUCCGUGCCAGCAGCCGCGGUAAUACGGAGGAUCCAAGCGUUAUCCGGAUUUAUUGGGUUUAAAGGGAGCGUAGGCGGCCCGUUAAGUCAGGGGUGAAAGACGGUGGCUCAACCAUCGCAGUGCCUUUGAUACUGACAGGCUUGAAUACACUUGAGGUAGGCGGAAUGUGACAAGUAGCGGUGAAAUGCAUAGAUAUGUCACAGAACACCGAUUGCGAAGGCAGCUUACUAAAGUGUGAUUGACGCUGAGGCUCGAAAGCGUGGGGAUCAAACAGGAUUAGAUACCCUGGUAGUCCACGCCCUAACGAUGAUAACUCGAUGUUGGCGAUAUACAGUCAGCGUCCAAGCGAAAGCGUUAAGUUAUCCACCUGGGGAGUACGCCCGCAAGGGUGAAACUCAAAGGAAUUGACGGGGGCCCGCACAAGCGGAGGAGCAUGUGGUUUAAUUCGAUGAUACGCGAGGAACCGUUACCCGGGCUUGAAAGUUACUGAAGGUACUAGAGAUAGUACCGUCCCUCGGGACAGGAACUAGUGCUGCAUGGCUGUCGUCAGCUCGUGCCGUGAGUGUUGGGUUAGUCCCGCAACGAGCGCAACCCCUAUGUUUAGUUGCCAGCAUGUCAGAUGGGGACUCUAAACAGACUGCUACGUUAGUAAGAGACGUGGGGACGACGUCAGUCAUCAUGUCCGUACGUCGGCUACCACGUGCUACAUGACGGUCAGUGCAGCUACUGCACAGAUGCCAUCUCACAAAGCGAUUCCAAGUUCGGAUCCGGGCUGA
rnacentral:rRNA from 1 species